rnacentral:rRNA from 1 species
GUGAGGAUCUUGCGCAUGGAGGAACUCUGNCGCAGCCACGCCGCGUGCCGGAAGACGGCCCUAUGGGUUGUAAACGGCUUUUGAUUGGGAAGAACUGUUCCGUUUCGACGGGACUUGACGGUACCAUUUGAAUAAGCACCGGCUAACUCCGUGCCAGCAGCCGCGGUAAUACGGAGGGUGCAAGCGUUGUCCGGAAUCAUUGGGUGUAAAGGGUGCGUAGGCUGGCAUCUAAGUCUGGGGUGAAAUCUUGCCGCUUAACGGUAAAAUUGCCUUGGAUACUGGAUGUCUUGAAUCUGACAGAGGUCGGUGGAAUUCGUGGUGUAGCGGUGAAAUGCAUAGAUAUCACGAAGAACACCAGUGGCGAAGGCGGCCGGCUGGGUCAGUAUUGACGCUGAGGCACGAGAGCGUGGGGAGCGAACAGGAUUAGAUACCCUGGUAGUCCACGCUGUAAACGAUGUAUGCUAGUUGUUGGGCUUUCGGGCUCAGUGACGCAGUUAGCGCAGUAAGCAUACCACCUGGGGAGUACGUUCGCAAGAAUGAAACUCAAAGGAAUUUGACGGNGGCCCGNACAAGCGGNGGAGCAUGUGGCUUAAUUCNAUGCAACNCNAANAACCUUACCCCGNNCUAAAU